CACGCAUGACACACUGCAUAUCAAUAAGCGGAGGAAAAGAAACUAACAAGGAUUCCCUUAGUAACGGCGAGUGAAGCGGGAAGAGCUCAAAUUUGAAAUCUUAAAGGGUUCUCCCUUGACGAAUUGUAGUUUAUAGAAGUGUUUUCUGUUAGUGGAGUUCGGUAAAAGUUCUUUGGAAUAGGACAUCAUAGAGGGUGAGAAUCCCGUAUUUGGUCAUUCCUCCUAGCGUUGUGAUACACUUCAACGAGUCGGAUUGUUUGGGAAUGCAGUCCAAAAUGGGUGGUAAAUUUCAUCUAAAGCUAAAUAUUGGCGAGAGACCGAUAGCGAACAAGUACCGUGAGGGAAAGAUGAAAAGAACUUUGAAAAGAGAGUUAAACAGUACGUGAAACUGUCAAAAGGGAAGCGUUUGACACCAGUGUUGUUUUUCCGAAAAUCAAUUACGAAUGUUUUAGUUUUUGAGGAGUUAUGACUUCAUCGGCUUGCUUCUCUCUUUAUGAAACUUUCUUAAUGCACUUUUCGGUUAACAAGUCAACAUCAAUUUCUUUUGUUGUAAAAGGGUAUGAGGUAAGGUGGCUUUCUUUUCGGAGAAAGUGUUUAUAGCCUUGUAGCCUCUGCAAUCGGAGAGAUUGAGGUCUGCAGCGUAGAUCCUUCGGGGUUAGAUACAGUUUGAGCUAAGUUAUAGCUUUUCAUAGACAACUUGUUGACUAUGUUUAGUCUUGUAGCUUACUCGCUGAUGCUAUUUUACCUACGCUUAGGAUGUUGACGCAUGAGAUAUACGC
rnacentral:rRNA from 1 species